rnacentral:lncRNA from 1 species
ACUAACGUUAUAUCAUAAAUUAACUAAUACGAGCUGAUACUAAUGACUAUUAGUUUAUUCACUAACUAAUACAAAUAAAAUCAAACAAUUCCAUCUUCCUUCAUCACAGAUCCACAACCGAUUAAGUGGUCUAUUUUCCCCUCAGGGUGCUCAAAGAAGUCUGCCACAUCCAGGUGGGUGAUGUCAAAAUUAUCGUCAGAGACA